rnacentral:rRNA from 1 species
UAGGGAAUCUUCCACAAUGGACGAAAGUCUGAUGGAGCAACACCGCGUGAGUGAAGAAGGGUUUCGGCUCGUAAAGCUCUGUUGUUAAAGAAGAACACGUUAUGAGAGUAACUGUUCAUACGUUGACGGUAUUUAACCAGAAAGUCACGGCUAACUACGUGCCCG